AAUCUCACGAGUUCGCGUGCCCACCGACUCAUUAUUUCCGGUUUCGUCUGUCAACACAUGGUUUCGUCUGUCAACACAUGAUCAGGGUGAAUAAAGUUUACUGUGAGCACUGUAAUCAAUAUGUCUCACGUAAAACAGCAUACAAUCACAAGAGAUGGCUUACUAACAAUGAUAAAGCAAGUGCCCCAUCCUUGAUUGACCAAAACAAAGAGGAGGUUCCAGAUCUGGUGU